rnacentral:rRNA from 1 species
AUGAACGCUGGCGGCGUGCCUAAUACAUGCAAGUCGAGCGAACAGACGAGGAGCUUGCUCCUCUGACGUUAGCGGCGGACGGGUGAGUAACACGUGGAUAACCUACCUAUAAGACUGGGAUAACUUCGGGAAACCGGAGCUAAUACCGGAUAAUAUAUUGAACCGCAUGGUUCAAUAGUGAAAGACGGUUUUGCUGUCACUUAUAGAUGGAUCCGCGCCGCAUUAGCUAGUUGGUAAGGUAACGGCUUACCAAGGCGACGAUGCGUAGCCGACCUGAGAGGGUGAUCGGCCGCACUGGAACUGAGACACGGUCCAGACUCCUACGGGAGGCAGCAGUAGGGAAUCUUCCGCAAUGGGCGAAAGCCUGACGGAGCAACGCCGCGUGAGUGAUGAAGGUCUUCGGAUCGUAAAACUCUGUUAUUAGGGAAGAACAAAUGUGUAAGUAACUAUGCACGUCUUGACGGUACCUAAUCAGAAAGCCACGGCUAACUACGUG